UACGUAGGGUGCGAGCGUUGUCCGGAAUUACUGGGCGUAAAGAGCUCGUAGGUGGUUUGUCGCGUUGUUCGUGAAAUCUCACGGCUUAACUGUGAGCGUGCGGGCGAUACGGGCAGACUAGAGUACUGCAGGGGAGACUGGAAUUCCUGGUGUAGCGGUGGAAUGCGCAGAUAUCAGGAGGAACACCGGUGGCGAAGGCGGCAUCCUGGACCGACACUGACACUGAGGAGCGAAAGCCAGGGGAGCAAACGGG
rnacentral:rRNA from 1 species